rnacentral:lncRNA from 1 species
UUUCUUUUAUAAAAGUGAUAUGUUCAUUCCACCGGAGGUCUGAAGUGAUUAUUAAGCCUAAGUAUUUAUAACAAUUUACAGCACUAAGACAGCGACCAUUUAUUGAAUACUGGAAACUUGCCAAGCUGCGU